UACGGAGGGAGCUAGCGUUGUUCGGAAUUACUGGGCGUAAAGCGCACGUAGGCGGCUUUGUAAGUUAGAGGUGAAAGCCUGGAGCUCAACUCCAGAAUUGCCUUUAAGACUGCAUCGCUUGAAUCCAGGAGAGGUGAGUGGAAUUCCGAGUGUAGAGGUGAAAUUCGUAGAUAUUCGGAAGAACACCAGUGGCGAAGGCGGCUCACUGGACUGGUAUUGACGCUGAGGUGCGAAAAGCGUGGGGGAGCAAACAGGG
rnacentral:rRNA from 1 species